rnacentral:rRNA from 1 species
UACGUAGGGCGCAAGCGUUAUCCGGAAUUAUUGGGCGUAAAGAGCUCGUAGGCGGUUUGUCGCGUCUGCCGUGAAAGUCCGGGGCUCAACUCCGGAUCUGCGGUGGGUACGGGCAGACUAGAGUGAUGUAGGGGAGACUGGAAUUCCUGGUGUAGCGGUGAAAUGCGUAGAUAUCGGGAGGAACACCAGUGGCGAAGGCGGCUUCCUGGACCGGUUCUGACACUGAGGAGCGAAAGCGUGGGGAGCGAUCCGG